rnacentral:rRNA from 1 species
AACGAACGCUGGCGGCAGGCUUAACACAUGCAAGUCGAGCGCCCCGCAAGGGGAGCGGCAGACGGGUGAGUAGCGCGUGGGAAUCUACCGAGCCCUGCGGAAUAGCUCCGGGAAACUGGAAUUAAUACCGCAUACGCCCUACGGGGGAAAGAUUUAUCGGGGUUUGAUGAGCCCGCGUUGGAUUAGCUAGUUGAUGGGGUAAUGGCCUACCAAGGCGACGAUCCAUAGCUGGUCUGAGAGGAUGAUCAGCCACAUUGGGACUGAGACACGGCCCAAACUCCUACGGGAGGCAGCAGUGGGGAAUAUUGGACAAUGGGGGCAACCCUGAUCCAGCCAUGCCGCGUGAGUGAUGAAGGCCUUAGGGUUGUAAAGCUCUUUCACCGGUGAAGAUAAUGUCGGUAACCGGAGAAGAAGCCCCGGCUAACUUCGUGCCAGCCGCCGCGGUAAUAC